UACGUAGGGGGCAAGCGUUGUCCGGAAUUAUUGGGCGUAAAGAGCGUGUAGGCGGUCCGGUAAGUCAGCUGUGAAAGUCAAGGGCUCAACCCUUGAAUGCCGGUUGAUACUGUCGGGCUAGAGUCCGGAAGAGGCGAGUGGAAUUCCUGGUGUAGCGGUGAAAUGCGCAGAUAUCAGGAGGAACACCAAUUGCGAAGGCAGCUCGCUGGGACGGUACUGACGCUGAGACGCGAAAGCGUGGGGAGCGAACAGG
rnacentral:rRNA from 1 species